ensembl:lncRNA
CAGGGGACCAAGGAAGGUGCAUGGGCCGGUGAUUGUUAAGCAUAGCUAUUGUUAUGACGUCUGCUGAUUUAACAAAUGCAAUCGAGUCUAACUCGAUUAUAUUUCCGUACUGUGUCUUAGUCCAACCAGGGUGUUGAUUUUACUUCGAAACGGAUAAUUUUAUUAUUUUAAUAUUUUUGUGGUAUGGUCGGCGCGGCCAGCGGAAGUGAACUUCUGAGAGCCACCCCACGUGUCCCCGCUGUAAUAUGUAUUGGAUCCAAUGAAGAGACAUUAACGAGUGACGUCUUGAGGUUUAAAUAGGCUUCGGAGCGAUCUCUGUGUUUAAAGUGCCAUCCGACUUCCGGUUUUUUAGGCGUGGCAAAACGCUUCAAAUCGCGCAAAAUAGCUAUUCUAAAAUUAAAUCUUCGCAGCGAUUAUAUUUCCGUACCGUGUCUGAAUCUAACCAGGGUGUUGUGUUCGCUUCGAGUUGGAUAAUUUUUAAAUAUUUUUCCGCAGUAAGGCCGGUGUGAUCAGCUAGAACUUGGGGAGGAAUACGACGUGCUCACACUAAGAGAGUAAAAGAGAGCUGUGCCUGAAUCCACUGUUGUCACGGAGCUAAAGGCAGUGAAUUCUGCUAAAAUGGUCAGGUUUUGGUAAAGAGUUGGAAACAUUGUGCGGAGAUCCUUUCCAUGGAAUGCUACAGAUCCCCACGUUCCAGGCGCUCUUCCAGAGAUCCAUAGAUUCCCAGUCCGGGUGGCUGGGUGGCGAGCCAACCGUGUUUGUGACUCUGACUUUAGACGGAUUGCCAGGAUCAUCUUCUUCAUCUUCAUGGUGGUAGGACAAACACUAACACGAACUAAAAAGGGCCCAACGUUGGUGACUGACCUCUUGUCAACAAAGGCAAGUGAAACUGAGGACGAACUAAGCUCAAGGGAAUUUAAAAGGGGAUUUAUUUAGGUGCGCAGUUUAUUAUUCUAGUUUGUUAUUUUUCAUAACUGUUUUUUGUAUAUGUAUGUACCAGCCCAUGUGUGUGUUAUACAUUUUAUGCAAAUUGUCAUUCUGGUGUGGUAUUCUUUUUAUUGACCUUCAAUUCUCAGGUUCUUAACAAUUUAGCAUCUUCUGAUUCUGGUCCAAAUUCAUAUUACUGAUAACCUCUAAGACUACUUUAGACUACUACACCUAUGGGUUACACAAGACCUUGUCGGCCGUUGGUUGUGCAUUUGAAUGUAGAGUUGUUUUUAGGUCUAGGCUGCUACCCCUGAGUGAGGCUUUGCUAACAAUAUUUGGCUAUAAUUUUAUCUGAUCUUGGGCUUUCUUCUUUUAUCUGCCGUGAAUGUGGGAGUUGUUUUUAGGUCUAAGUUGUUACUCCUGAGUGAGGCUUUGCUGACGAUAUUUGGCUAUGAUUCUACCCGACCUUGUGUUUUCUUCUUUUAUCUGCAGUGAAUGUAGUAGUCUUUAGGUCUCGGUUGUUACCCCUGAGUGAGGCUUUGCUGAAGAUAUUCGGCUAUAAUUUUACCCGAAAAUGGGCGUUCUUUUUUCCUGUUGAUUGUUUCUUCCAUAACGCUGGGUUCUCAUGUGACGGUUCCGUGUUGAGAUUGGUUCCCGGCAGGUUUUAUCCUGCACGUCAGAAUGAUAGGUAAGCAGAAUAAAAUAGCAGACUACCUGUGUGGGCAGUACAUUCACCAUGCCUGUCUGGGCUUGUUUCCGCUCACCUAUCCAACAGUCUCUUUAUCCCUUAGUCAAAAGGGCAGGAGACUAGACACUUGUGAUUGAUGGACAUGAUCGUCGACGAAACUCGUGGUCCACCAACGACUAAGGCUACUUUUACUCAGAUAGCGUGCUCGGUCCGAAGGCUCUGGCUGGGUUAGGUUUUGGUAAGAAUACAAUGAUCCCCCCCAUCACAAUAAUCCAUUGGGUAGUUAAGCAGGGGACCAAGGAAGGUGCACGGGCCAGCACUUGUUAAGCAUAGCUAUUGUUCAUGCAGCAGACCCCGGCUUUGCGUCUGCUGACUUAACAAAUGCAAUCGAGUCUAACUCGAUCAGGUUUUAUAGUUGGUGGGUCACGAGCUAGUUCUCAAUGAGCUGAGGAGAUGGCAUUCAGUUAGAGGUGGUGGAAUGGAUUGUGUAUCCAUCAUCUUCUGGUCUAAACAUGGACUAUUUGGUUUUAAAUGGACUGU